rnacentral:rRNA from 1 species
GACGAACGCUGGCGGCAUGCCUAAUACAUGCAAGUCGAGCGAACAGAUGAAGUGCUUGCACUUCUGACGUUAGCGGCGAACGGGGUGAGUAACACGUAAGGAAUCUACCUAUAAGCGGGGGAUAACAUUCGGAAACGGGUGCUAAUACCGCAUAAUAUCUUCUUCCGCAUGGAAGAAGAUUGAAAGACGGCUCUGCUGUCACUUAUAGAUGACCUUGCGGUGCAUUAGUUAGUUGGUGGGGUAACGGCCUACCAAGACGAUGAUGCAUAGCCGACCUGAGAGGGUGAUCGGCCACAUUGGGACUGAGACACGGCCCAAACUCCUACGGGAGGCGAGCAGGUAGGAAUCUUCCGACAAGU